AUACUUACCUGGCAGGGGAUAUUCCAUAAUCACAGAGGUGGUUUCCCCAGGGUGAGGCCCACCCAUUGCACUUCGUUGUGCUGACCCCUGUGAUUUUCCCAAUGUGAGAAACUCAACUGCAUUAUUUGUGUUUGUGGGGGACAGCGUUUGAGCUCUAA